rnacentral:tRNA from 1 species
GGGACGAUAGCUCAACGGCAGAGCAUCCGGCUCAUAACCGGCGGGUUCCAGGUUCGAAUCCUGGUCGUCCCACCA